rnacentral:rRNA from 1 species
UACGUAGGGUGCAAGCGUUGUCCGGAAUUACUGGGCGUAAAGAGUUCGUAGGCGGUUUGUCGCGUCGUUUGUGAAAACCAGCAGCUCAACUGCUGGCUUGCAGGCGAUACGGGCAGACUUGAGUACUGCAGGGGAGACUGGAAUUCCUGGUGUAGCGGUGAAAUGCGCAGAUAUCAGGAGGAACACCGGUGGCGAAGGCGGGUCUCUGGGCCGUAACUGACGCUGAGGAGCGAAAGCGUGGGGAGCGAACAGG